CCCAGCCCCAGCUGCCCCAGCACCUCCGCAGGCUAAAGGAGACCUCUACUGGGCGCCCCAGAGUCAGAGCCCGGCACAGGAACACAAGUGUGAGAGGUAUGAGUGGAAGCUUCCCAGCCCAGGGACGCGCUGCCAAGUGCUGGUACUAGGGGCCUGGCUAGUUAUGGCUGCCCCUAUUCCUCAAAGGUGUUUCCAGGACGGGUGGCCGCUUGCAAUUGGAGCAGUGGAGAACCAGAAAGACGAAGAUGCCCUCAGGGAUGGCUGAAGUGCACCCAUUAGGUUGUCACGGGUUCCCUCCUGUGGCCACAGCCGGCACAGCACUCUGCGGCACAGUUUGUGGGUGGAGAUUCUGAGUUCUCGACCAAGACCCACAUAGCCUCCAACUCCAACCGCAAAUGGGGCUCUCAAAAGACUGAAUAAUGCACUCUUCACAGACCAGACUUAAGCUUUGUCCCUGUGAAAUAUGCCUUUGAUGUUUAUCCGUAGCUCCUUGUAAACUUCAGAAGCAACCAGCAUCCCCUGAUGUCACGUUAAAAAGCAAGUUCCUAGUUUCCCCACCCAAAGAUUCUGACCCAGUAGCUGUGAGCAGGGCCAGGGAAACUACAUUUCUCACCAGCUUCCAGAGGAUGGUUGUGUUCCCGGUCUCAGAACCAUACUUUGAGUGGUGCAGGUUCAGAAUACUUCCUGGGAAGUGCAUACAGACCAAACCACAUAUGAGAAGUAACUCAGCUUGAGGGGCAUGGAGGUCAGGGGAUGAGAAUGGCUUUUGUGGGGCACACAGGAUGGGGGACAGGCUUAGACAGCAUGCCUGGUGAUAAAGAAUAAGAGUUUGUUUCUAGACCCUGUUUGCAAAGAAAAAGCAACUCAAUGUGACAAUUCCAGGAAAGCAGCCAGAUGUGCCAAAAACAUCACCCAAGGAGUCUGUAUCCUUUCUCUGAUGGCGUUGAGUUCACUGGAACUGCAGCUGAAGCGUAACUAAUGUGGUUUCUUAGCUGGAGAGUGAUGGUGCACGUAGGGGUAGGAAGGGG
rnacentral:lncRNA from 10 species